rnacentral:lncRNA from 1 species
UUAUCCUUGGAAUUGGAAGGGAUCAUGGACCUUUUUUCCCCUCUCUGGGAGAAUUUGAAACGGAUUUGAAACGGAUGUAGCAAAAGUAACGAACAUUGAAAUGCUAAAAUAACCUAUAAUUUGAAACGGAUGGAGUAGAAUUUGCGUGUCAGUUCACCAUCCCAGGAGAGGCUCUGCAUCCCCCGAGAAGUGGAUCUCGAGCUCCAUGGCGCGGCGGCGGAUGGAGCAACAGCCUCAUGGCUCGGAGGUGACCCACCGGAGCUCGACGACCGGCCAUGGUGCGUCGCCGGCGGAGGAUGGUAGCUCGCAGAUCUCCUCCUCCUCCUUCCUCUCUCUGAUAGGUUUGGGGUGUCCAGGGAUGGAUGUCGGCGCUCGUCGACGGCAGCCUCUAUGGCCGAGCGAUGUCGCCGGGCGGAGGAGAAACUGCCGAUAGUGGAGAAGGUUGCAUUCCCCUACAUUAAGGGCAGAGGAGCUGAGUUUUUGUGAUUGCUAAAAAAAAAACCACGAUACAUCGCUGAUCAGUGAGAACACACACGAGAUAAGUUAACCGUCGUGGAAUUUCCUGUUACCUUCCGUGCGUUAACCACAGUAAGCUGCUUGCGUAGAAGUCCGGCACGCGACAACCUAGUGCAAUGGAGUAGAGGACAGAGA